AACAUGAGAAGAAUUGGAAGUAGCCUAUAGCAAGUAGAAACACGAACUGAUUCUAUUGACUUAAUUACAUAUACUUUAUAAAUCAGACUCUGGUCAGUAGAUUUGAGGGCAACAUCUUGUUUCUGCUGUGGAAUUAAAAACAUAGACUUAUAUGACAAUAAAUUUCUAUGCUAAAUCAAGGUUUUUUUCACUUCUGACUUUAAGGUUCUUCUCCAGAGAGAAGAAGCUGUCACAGACUUAUUUUUUAUGUUUCUGUAUCUGUUGCCAUCUUGCUUGUAGAUUUUUAAUUUUUCAGAAAGGUAGAUGGAAACAUUUAGUGUUGCAUUUUGAAGACUGAAUCUUGUGAAUCUACAGGAGCAUAAAUGUCCUACCUCUUGGGACAGUUCCUACCAUGAAUUCAGAUCAAGUAUGUGUGUCUACUCUAAGAAGAUUAUGUUUGUUUUUAUUUUCAGUUUGUCUUCGCUCUUUUCAAACUGGGUUAUUCACUGCUGCACGUCAGUCAACUAAUGCUUAUCCUGACCUAAGAAGCUGUGUCAAUGCCAUUCCAGACCAGUGUAGUCCUCUGCCAUGCAAUGAAGAUGGAUAUAUGAGCUGCAAAGAUGGAAAAGCUUCUUUUACUUGCACUUGUAAACCAGGUUGGCAA
rnacentral:lncRNA from 10 species